UUCACCCUCCCCUGCAGCCUCAGCUCGCCCCGCCACCAGAACAAUGCUCUGGGUGGCAGGCUGUGAGCUCCUGGAGCAGCGCAGUUGCAGAGCCUGGUCUGACCUGGUGCUCUGUGCUGCGCAGUGGCAACGACGUGGCUGGCUCCAGGCGGGCCAGCCACCAGUGCUCCAGGCAGCACGCAAAUGCACAAGCUAUCACAUAGCUGUAAGAACAGAUGCUUCAACCCAUCACGGUCACAAACUCUGGCCAGGAGAUUUAGUAGCAACGCAUUCUCUGGAAAUGACUAAUGGUCUCAUGCCCUCAGUUUGUAUGUAGACAUCUGCUCAAGCAAAGACCCAUCAAGUUCUUCUCAGAAAGCAGAAGUGAGUUUUGAAGAUGGACUUAAGAAAAGUUAAGGAGUUGGCUUUAUGGACUUUGAUUAGGAGCUUUCCCUGUUCAAGUAAUAUGGAAGGAACCAUGAAAGUGCUUAUGUGAGAAGCAGGCAAUCAACGCUGGCAUCAUAGAGAUGAGUCACAUCAGGGUUGCUGUUCCUCCCUUCAGAGGGUGAAGGUGACAAGCAGCAGGGUUGGAUCACGUGGGCCAUGAUUUGUUCAAAUUUAUGGAAUUUCUCUAUCUCUACCUGACAAACUGCACAAGCAAGAUACAUAGGCGUACUCGCCACACACCAUUUAGUGUUGUGACACUCCACAUGGUAUUGAAUCCAUACAGGAAAGCCAGGCAAGUCUAUCCCGAUGUAUAUGUUUAACAUUACAUUUGCCCAAGUGAUCAUAUAAAAUAACAUGCAGUGCUAACAUGACAAUGUUAGAUCAUGUUUAUUUGGACACCAGAAGAACUUGGGAAGACUUAUUCAGAAUUUAAGGCUUGGGCCUUUGACUUUGUGAAGUAAAAUGGGACCUGUAAUACCUGCGACCAUGUCUCCUAAAGGUGUCAUCACACCAACCAAAAAUGCUUUUUCAUAUAAUGCAACUUAGACAGCAUGGUAAAACAUCAAAGCUCAUCUGCCAUCCAGAAAGUGAAGUCUCCUUUCCUCACUGGAACCAUAUUCCCAAGACUGACGGAAGAUGCAGCAAGCACAGAGUUGCUCACUGAACCUUCUGACUGAAGUGACCUGUUAGGAGCCAAUUGUCUAGAUAUGGAAAGACUGUUCAGCUAUGAUGUCUCAUUGAGAUGUCACCACUGAGAAGACCUUCCUGAAGACCCUGGAUACUGUUGCCAGUACACACGAGAGUCCUCUGUACUGGUAGUGUUCUUGUCCUGCCAGAAAUCGGAGGAACCUUUUGUGAGACAGAUGAAUGUCCACUUGCCAUGAACCACAUUUUCUCCUUUGGAAGGGGAUUACUGAUGCCAACAUAACCAUUCAGAAUUUUGAUUUCUGAAUAAAAUCAUUUAAUCACCUAAGGCUGAGAAUGAUCUCCAUCCUCUGUUUUUCUUGGGAACUAUGAAAUAAAGGAUGUAGAACUCUUU